UAAGCGACUAAGCGUACACGGUGGAUGCCUAGGCAGUCAGAGGCGAUGAAGGGCGUGCUAAUCUGCGAAAAGCGUCGGUAAGCUGAUAUGAAGCGUUAUAACCGACGAUACCCGAAUGGGGAAACCCAGUGCAAUACGUUGCACUAUCGUUAGAUGAAUACAUAGUCUAACGAGGCGAACCGGGGGAACUGAAACAUCUAAGUACCCCGAGGAAAAGAAAUCAACCGAGAUUCCCCCAGUAGCGGCGAGCGAACGGGGAGGAGCCCAGAGUCUGAAUCAGUUUGUGUGUUAGUGGAAGCGUCUGGAAAGUCGCACGGUACAGGGUGAUAGUCCCGUACACCAAAAUGCACAGGCUGUGAACUCGAUGAGUAGGGCGGGACACGUGACAUCCUGUCUGAAUAUGGGGGGACCAUCCUCCAAGGCUAAAUACUCCUGACUGACCGAUAGUGAACCAGUACCGUGAGGGAAAGGCGAAAAGAACCCCGGCGAGGGGAGUGAAAUAGAACCUGAAACCGUGUACGUACAAGCAGUGGGAGCACCUUCGUGGUGUGACUGCGUACCUUUUGUAUAAUGGGUCAGCGACUUAUAUUUUGUAGCAAGGUUAACCGAAUAGGGGAGCCGUAGGGAAACCGAGUCUUAACUGGGCGUCUAGUUGCAAGGUAUAGACCCGAAACCCGGUGAUCUAGCCAUGGGCAGGUUGAAGGUUGGGUAACACUAACUGGAGGACCGAACCGACUAAUGUUGAAAAAUUAGCGGAUGACUUGUGGCUGGGGGUGAAAGGCCAAUCAAACCGGGAGAUAGCUGGUUCUCCCCGAAAGCUAUUUAGGUAGCGCCUCGUGAACUCAUCUUCGGGGGUAGAGCACUGUUUCGGCUAGGGGGCCAUCCCGGCUUACCAAACCGAUGCAAACUCCGAAUACCGAAGAAUGUUAUCACGGGAGACACACGGCGGGUGCUAACGUCCGUCGUGAAGAGGGAAACAACCCAGACCGCCAGCUAAGGUCCCAAAGUCAUGGUUAAGUGGGAAACGAUGUGGGAAGGCACAGACAGCCAGGAUGUUGGCUUAGAAGCAGCCAUCAUUUAAAGAAAGCGUAAUAGCUCACUGGUCGAGUCGGCCUGCGCGGAAGAUGUAACGGGGCUAAACCAUGCACCGAAGCUGCGGCAGCGACACUUAGGUGUUGUUGGGUAGGGGAGCGUUCUGUAAGCCGUUGAAGGUGACCUGUGAGGGUUGCUGGAGGUAUCAGAAGUGCGAAUGCUGACAUAAGUAACGAUAAUGCGGGUGAAAAACCCGCACGCCGGAAGACCAAGGGUUCCUGUCCAACGUUAAUCGGGGCAGGGUGAGUCGACCCCUAAGGCGAGGCUGAAAAGCGUAGUCGAUGGGAAACAGGUUAAUAUUCCUGUACUUGGUGUUACUGCGAAGGGGGGACGGAGAAGGCUAGGCUGGCCGGGCGACGGUUGUCCCGGUUUAAGCGUGUAGGGGGAGUGACCAGGUAAAUCCGGUUGCUUAUCAACCCUGAGGCGUGAUGACGAUGCACCACGGUGCAGAAGCAGUUGAUGCCAUGCUUCCAGGAAAAGCCUCUAAGCAUCAGGUAACAUUAAAUCGUACCCCAAACCGACACAGGUGGUCAGGUAGAGAAUACUCAGGCGCUUGAGAGAACGUCGGGUGAAGGAACUAGGCAAAAUGGUGCCGUAACUUCGGGAGAAGGCACGCUGGCGUUAGGUGAAAGGACUAGCUCCUGGAGCUGAAGCCAGUCGCAGAUACCAGCUGGCUGCAACUGUUUAAUAAAAACACAGCACUGUGCAAACACGAAAGUGGACGUAUACGGUGUGACGCCUGCCCGGUGCUGGAAGGUUAAUUGAUGGGGUCAGCCGCAAGGCGAAGCUCUUGAUCGAAGCCCCAGUAAACGGCGGCCGUAACUAUAACGGUCCUAAGGUAGCGAAAUUCCUUGUCGGGUAAGUUCCGACCUGCACGAAUGGCGUAAUGAUGGCCAGGCUGUCUCCACCCGAGACUCAGUGAAAUUGAACUCGCUGUGAAGAUGCAGUGUACCCGCGGCAAGACGGAAAGACCCCGUGAACCUUUACUAUAGCUUGACACUGAACAUUGAGCCUUGAUGUGUAGGAUAGGUGGGAGGCCUUGAAGUGUGGACGCCAGUCUGCAUGGAGCCAACCUUGAAAUACCACCCUUUAAUGUUUGAUGUUCUAACUCGGCCCCAUGAUCUGGGGUGAGGACAGUGUCUGGUGGGUAGUUUGACUGGGGCGGUCUCCUCCCAAAGAGUAACGGAGGAGCACGAAGGUUAGCUAAUCACGGUCGGACAUCGUGAGGUUAGUGCAAAGGCAUAAGCUAGCUUGACUGCGAGAGUGACGGCUCGAGCAGGUACGAAAGUAGGUCUUAGUGAUCCGGUGGUUCUGAAUGGAAGGGCCAUCGCUCAACGGAUAAAAGGUACUCCGGGGAUAACAGGCUGAUACCGCCCAAGAGUUCAUAUCGACGGCGGUGUUUGGCACCUCGAUGUCGGCUCAUCACAUCCUGGGGCUGAAGUAGGUCCCAAGGGUAUGGCUGUUCGCCAUUUAAAGUGGUACGCGAGCUGGGUUUAGAACGUCGUGAGACAGUUCGGUCCCUAUCUGCCGUGGGCGUUGGAAGAUUGAGAGGGGCUGCUCCUAGUACGAGAGGACCGGAGUGGACGAAUCACUGGUGUUCGGGUUGUCAUGCCAAUGGCAUUGCCCGGUAGCUAAAUUCGGAAGAGAUAACCGCUGAAAGCAUCUAAGCGGGAAACUUGCCUCGAGAUGAGUCUUCCCUGGGGCUUAAAGCCCCCUGAAGGAACGUUAAAGACUAUGACGUUGAUAGGCUGGGUGUGUAAGUGCAGCGAUGUAUUGAGCUAACCAGUACUAAUGAUCCGUGAGGCUUAACCU
rnacentral:rRNA from 1 species